UGCGCGCACGGCGCGAUGGGCUCGCCCAGGCCCCGCCGCCCUCACGCGUCCGGGCUGCGACCCGCGGCCGCCGAGAUACGCGGCCCUGCUUCCGCGCAGCCGGCAGGGAGCGGCCCGGGGAGGGGGCGGGAAGAAGUCACUCCCCUUUAAAAAUGUGGUGUCCCUCUCCGGCUUUCGUGAGCUCCUCAGUGCCUAUACCUGAACCCGGCUUAGUGAUCCCUCCCCUUGCUUCACCUUGACUUGGUUUGGAGGGGCAAUACAAGAGUUUUAAUUGAAAUAAGCAGUUCAGGAGUAUUUUAUCGGUGCUCCAGUGCACUGCGUGUCUGUCCCGUCCCCCCGCCCUCAGCAAUAAACGCACAGUGGGUGAGUGAAAGGAAGGUGCAGUCCACAUUUCAGGAUUUUUCCUGGACCCUUUCUCCAGUCCGCUGUUCAUCCUGUCAUCUUCCAUGAAACUAUGUGUUACAAAGUCUCUCUGUGAAAAAUGAGCUGGGCAGUAUAGCCUGUGAAGAGGAUUUGGCACUUGAAAGGAACCUGACACAUAGCAUGAGAAAGGCUGUUGGGGCACCUAUGUUCCUAUGAGUAUGGCUGAACCAUUACAUCUCUGGGACUUUGUGACCUUGCAAAGUGGGAAAAUGAGAACUGCAACAGGACCUCUUCAUUUCUUUUGGGCAGGGUGUCAAGAUGAAAAGCAAA